ACAGCGCUACGAGAGGAGAUAAGAGAGGCAGUAUUGUCAGUGCUACCAUAUUUGCCUGAGGAGACACUUUCAUCCCUCCUGGACAAGCUAGCAAUUGUGGGAGUAGAGGGAAAGCCAGACCUUCAAUUUCUUAAAGAACAAGACCUACAAGAGCACAUCAGACCAAUACAAUGCCGGAAGCAGCUAAAUGCAUGGAGAUUUGAAGGUGACACAAUGGCUGCUGCCAAAUGGAUGAUAAGCAUCGAGGAGGUCGUGAUGUCGGUCCACUCCAACUUUGUGGAAGCGCUGGCAGCUUUAAAAAAAAUCUCAUUCUACUUCAGUCAGCAGUACCAAGAGGAGGCUUCACGCACCCUGGAGUUCAUCCAAAGAUGUUUUGCUGGAAUCAGUCCAUCCAACUGGCUCGAAGACCGCCACAGCCGAGGUUGUCAGUGAGAAAAGCGGAAAGGUAGUGGAGAAGAAGAGACACACAAUUAAUGUACUGUACAUGUUUGUACUCUGCUCAGGAAGAUAAUGGACUUAGAACAGCUAUAGGCUAGUUCCUCUUGGGCAUACAUUAAAUGUAUUUAUGUUAAUUGUGACCUGCUCAAGUAAGUUUGGUUUGUCACUGGGCUUGACUCUUUUGUGUUUCACACCUUAGGUGUUAGAAAAUGAUCCAGUAUGCACUGAAAUUGGCACAUUGUUGAGGAAGUAAUGCUACUUUGGAUGUUUGGAAAUGUCUGGCAUUUACUCCAAACUUGAAUAGGCAACCCUUAUUAAAGCUUGAGUAUGUCGUUUUGGAAAGGGCAUAAUUAGAAAUGGGAAUAGGACAACAUAUCCAUUGAGGUAUUUUAUAACCAUAAUCUCACAUAAUUAAAAAGUCAAAUUACCCUUACCAAAACGAGAUACUCUGCUUUUAAUCUGGGAGCGAAGGUAAUGACAAACCUCCUAAGGUAAGGCCAGGCAGACAUGUUGCACAAAUCUCUGUUGAGAGUAGGCCCUACUACCCGUCUUAUUAUGAAACAAGACACAGUACAUGUUUUAUUUUUUUGAGCUCAAAGCGAGGCAAUACAAUUUGAGUUACCUGUGUCUGAAAGGUUGUUUUUAUUUAAAAAACUAAGAUACAAACAGUAUACCAGUGCCUUUCUCAUCUGUAAUUCUGUCACUUUCUAUGCUGCAACAGUUAUUAAAACUGUCUUUGCAUCUGCAUUCAGCAAUUUUUUUAAAAACAAAAAGGUUUAAAAUGUAUCGGUCUUCAGAAUUGAUCAACGUCCUGAGUAAGGUGUAUGCUCAUAUCUGUUCCAGCAUACAAAGUGACAGAAUAGCCCUGUGACAAUCUAGCAUGAUGUUUUAUGUCACAUGCAAGCUAGAAUAUAAUUACACAUCAUUUUGUGUUAAUUUUUUUUAUUCGUAAAGGGAGAUGCUUCACAGUUUUGUAAAAUGGGUUGGUUGCACCAAUCCUGACUAAUGCUAUGAUGGAAACCCUUGAUUUUUUGUGAAGUUAUGUCAUACCAAUACUUUUAAGAUGAACAAUUGUAUUCUGUCCCAAUGAAUAAUUUUCAGAUCUACACAGGUGCUUGGGGAAAGUUGUACGUUUUGUAACUGAGGCAUUUGUGAUGCAGCCCAUUUCGUUACAGUUUAUUGGCAAUUCCCACCGAGCAAGUGUUAAGUUGUACUUUUGGGAGCUUAUUGAAUGUGCUUGUUUAUCAUUAAAC